AGGCUAGAGGAAGACAAAAUGUACAAGAAACUUCUAAGCCAGUUGGGCCUGUGGUUGUCCAGCAGCCCAGUGAUGAACAGCCUCAAAAAGAGGAGCCACUGACUGAAAGUAAGGAUGUUAUGCCUGGUCAGGAGAGAGAUGAGGCGGCACCCAAGAGUCAAGGUCCUGGCUUGGAAGCUGAUAUUCAGGAAGUGUCUCAGGCAAAAACUGGAGGUAAAUGGGGAGAUGAUCCUUAUGUCAAGGGUGAGAUCUAUCAAAUUUAGAGCCUUGCUUAAGUGCUGAAAGCAGGCGAAGGGCAAUCAUAGGUUUAA
rnacentral:lncRNA from 1 species